UACGAAGGGUGCAAGCGUUAAUCGGAAUUACUGGGCGUAAAGCGUGCGUAGGUGGGUUGUUAAGUCUGAUGUGAAAGCCCCGGGCUCAACCUGGGAACUGCAUUGGAUACUGGCUUACUAGAGUGCGGUAGAGGGUAGCGGAAUUUCCGGUGUAGCGGUGAAAUGCGUAGAGAUCUGAAGGAACAUCCGUGGCGAAGGCGGCUACCUGGACCAGCACUGACACUGCGGCACGAAAGCGUGGGGAGCAAACAGG
rnacentral:rRNA from 1 species